rnacentral:ncRNA from 1 species
UAAAAAGCGAUGAAAAAGACGAGUAAAUGAUUCAAUCUUUUAGUGAGUUGGCGACAGUGGAAAUCCGACAGACCCUGAAUCAUUGAAAAACACUUUUAGCAGCUCACCGAAAUAAUAAUUCUUAAAGUAGGUUGAGACGUCUCCGGUACGUUACCACGCCGGUGGAGCAUGACUGUGCUUCAUGAGGAGGUCUAUUACUAGACAAUUUGGGUGGUACCGCGGAAAACUUUCGUCCCUUGA